rnacentral:rRNA from 1 species
GAUGAACGCUGGCGGCGUGCCUAAUACAUGCAAGUCGAGCGAACAGAUAAGGAGCUUGCUCCUUUGACGUUAGCGGCGGACGGGUGAGUAACGCGUGGGUAACCUAUCUAUAAGACUGGAAUAACUCCGGGAAACCGGGGCUAAUGCCAGAUAACAUGUUGAACCGCAUGGUUCUACGGUUAAUGGCGGCUUUGCUGUCACUUAUAGAUGGACCCGCGCCGUAUUAGCUAGUUGGUGAGGUACCGGCGCACCAAGGCAACGAUACGUAGCCGACCUGAGAGGGUGAUCGGCCACACUGGAACUGAGACACGGUCCAGACUCCUACGGGAGGCAGCAGUAGGGAAUAUUGCGCAAUGGGCGAAAGCCUGACGGAGCAACGCCGCGUGAGUGAUGAAGGUCUUCGGAUCGUAAAACUCUUUUAUUAGGGAAGAACAAAUGCGUAAGUAACUGUGCGCGUCUUGACGGUACCUAAUCAGAAAGCAACGGCUAACUACGUG